UGUCCCUCCUCCGCAGUAGUACAAACUCUCUACACCAACUCCACCUGCUCGAUCACUCAAGCUUUCAAAGCUGUCAAAAUCUAAAUGCAUAUAACAUAUUUGCCUGAUUAAUAAUUCUAGCUCGCUAGCAAUUUCCAUAAAGCCGCGUUUGGUUGCCAAUUGCUUGGAAUUUCACUUUAUUGUCUCCCCAGCCCACGCAAUUUUCCCUGUCAUCGCCGAUCCUGCCGCAUAUGGGUGUAGCACAUGCAAUACGCUCAUGCUUGGAUACUUUGCCGGAUUUCCCUAAGACACAAAUUGGUUUUAUGGCCUUUGACUGUAGAAUACACAUUUACAAUAUGAAGUCAUCCUUGAUGCAACGUCAAAUGUUGGUGGUCUCAGACUUAGAUGACAUGUUUGUUCUAUUACCAUAUGAUCUCCUUGUCAACUUGUUUGAAUCAAGAACUAUGUGGAUGCUUUCUUAGAUGGCUCGCCCUCAAUGUUUGAGAAUACUUCACACGUGGAAUAUGCUUUUUCUC